rnacentral:rRNA from 1 species
CGAGGGUGCGAGCGUUGUCCGGAAUCACUGGGCGUAAAGGGCGCGUAGGCGGCCUGGUAAGUAGGGGGUGAAAUCCUGCGGCUUAACCGCAGGGCUGCCUUCUAAACUGUCAGGCUCGAGCACGGUAGAGGCAGAUGGAAUUCCCGGUGUAGCGGUGGAAUGCGUAGAGAUCGGGAAGAACAUCAGUGGCGAAGGCGGUCUGCUGGGCCGUUGCUGACGCUGAGGCGCGACAGCGUGGGGAGCAAACCGGAUUAGAUACCCUGGUAGUCCACGCCGUAAACGAUGGGCACUAGGCGUCGGGGGGAGCGACCCUCCCGGUGCCGUCGCUAACGCAGUAAGUGCCCCGCCUGGGGAGUACGGCCGCAAGGCUG